rnacentral:rRNA from 1 species
CGAAAGUCUACUUAAUGCAAACAGUGGAUGCCUAGGCAUAAGUUGCUGAUGAAGGACGCGUAAGGCUGCGAUAAGCGCCGGGGAGCUGCCACAAAGCUUUGAUCCGACGAUUUCCAAAUGGGAGAACCCAGUCCCGCUUUGCGGGACUAUUUACACCCCAAGUUUUUCUAUUUAAUAGUAAAUAUUAAGGUGUAGAAAGGUACCUGAGGAACUGAAACAUCUAAGUACUCAGUGGAAAAUAAAUCAAAAGAGAUUGCCUUAGUAGCGGCGAGCGAAACGGCAAGAGCCCAAAUCCCUCAUCAUAUUCUUCGGAAUAUGGUGAGAGGAGGUUGUAGGACCUCAAUGUGGGAGUUUGAAGGGUAGUAGAAAUUGCUGGAAUGCAAUACCAAAGAAAGUAAUAGUCUUGUACACAAAACCCUGAUAACCCCUAGAGGUAUCCUGAGUACCACGGUCGACAUCUCCGUGGGAAUCUGGGGGAACCAUCCUCCAAGGCUAAAUACAACUUAUGACCGAUAGUGAACUAGUACCGUGAGGGAAAGGUGAAAAGAAGGCCGAGAGGGCCAGUGAAAUAGUACCUGAAACUGUUUGCAAACAAACCGGUAAAGCCCCUCACCAUUUCUGUUUAAUAGAUAUACUUAAAUUGUGUUUUAUAUAUAUCUUCUAAAAUCUUUAAAAACUCAAAAGAUUUAUAUUGGUUAUACCAAUAAUUUGAGAAGAAGAUUUGAACAGCAUAAUAAUGGUGAGAAUAAAUCAACCAAAUUUCAGAAACCUUGGAAGCUAAUAUAUUACGAAGCUUUUUUAUCAAAAUCUGACGCGAUGACACGAGAGAAAAAAUUGAAACAUCAUGCGAGAGGAUUAAUUGAAUUAAAAAAAAGAAUAAUUUCAAGUUUAGACGGAAAUGGUGAGGGGUAAUACCGUGCCUAUUGAAGAAUGAGCCAGCGAGUUUUCGUUAUCUGCAAGUCUAACCCCGAGCGGGGGUAGGCGCAGGGAAACCGAGUGUUAAAAGCGCGUUUAAGCAGCUAGCGAAAGACCCGAAACUAGGCGAGCUAACCAUGAGCAGGGUGAACUCCGAUGAAAAUCGGAGGGAGGCCCGAACCCGUGUACGAUGUAAUGUGCUGGGAUGACUUGUGGUUAGAUUGUAAAAUGCUAAUCGAGCCUAGAGAUAGCUGGUUCUCCCCGAAAGGUGUAUAGGCACCGUGCUUUGUAAAAACGCGUCAGGGGUAGAGCUACUGACUGGUCUCGCGAGCGAAAGCCAGCGAGAUCAACCAAACUCCGAAUACUGACGUGGACGCAAAGUAAACAGUCUUAUGGGGCUAAGCUCAUAGGACGAAAGGGAAACAACCCAGACUCUCAGCUAAGGUCUCUAAAUUCAUCUUAAGUUUUAAAGGAAGUCUCAUUCCGCAGACAGCCAGGAGGUUGGCUUAGAAGCAGCCAUCCUUCAAAGAAAGCGUAACAGCUCACUGGUCAAUGGAGUGAGGCGCCUAAAAUUCAUCGAGGAUUAAAGAUGGUACCGAAGCUAGAGAUUCCCGAUUUUAUCGGGAGUGGUAGGGGAGCGUUCCAAUUGCUGUGAAGUUUAAUUGUAAAGUUAGGUGGAGCGAUUGGAAGUGAGAAUGCUGGCAUAAGUAGCGAGCAAGUCCGAUGCGAAUUCGGACCGCCGUAAGCCCAAGGUUUCCCCGGCAACGUUCGUCGUCCGGGGGUUAGUCGGUUCCUAAGGCGAGGCCAAUUGGCGUAGUCGAUGGACAGUCCGUUAAUAUUCGGACACUUGGUAUUGGUUGUUUUAGCUUGAGGAUUAACUGAAUUGGAAGAUUGAAGCCCUUUAUUGAAUUAGGGUGCAAGCUAUUAGUCAGCUUUUGUUGGAAAAUCCGCAAGAGCGUUUAAACGAGUAGUUAUGCAGAGUUCUGAGAGAUCAGGGCAAUUUUGAACCUUUCAGUUUACAAGAAAAGGUUCGCAAGCAAAACCAAUAUUAAGCCGUACCGCAAACCAACACAGGUGGGCAGGUUGAGUAGACUAAGGCGAGCGAGAGAAGGAUGUUUAAGGAACUCGGCAAGACAGCUCCUCGUAACUUCGGGAGAUGAGGUGCCCCUCCGAUGAGGUGGGGUCGCAGCGAAGGAGUACUGGUCGACUGUUUAUCAAAAACACAGGUCCAUGCGAAACCGCAAGGUGAAGUAUAUGGGCCGAUGCCUGCCCAGUGCCGGUAAGUUAAGGGGAUCGGUGGUCCGAUGUUACAUCGGACUGCUGUGAACCGAAGCUCCGGUAAACGGCAGCAGUAACUAUAACUGUUCUACGGUAGCGAAGUUCCUUGUCACUUAAUUAGUGACCCGCACGAAUGGCAUCACGAGCCAGUAACUGUCUUAAACAUCCGCUCGGCGAAAUUGCGAUGGCCGUGAAGACGCGGCCUACACACACCAGGACAAGAAGACCCCGUGAAGCUUUACUGUAGUCUGGCAUUGAUUUGUGCAUUUUAAUUGUCUAGCGCAGGAGGGACCCUGAGAGCAAUCGAAGGGGACAAUGUAACACCUCUCUUUGAAAUGUGGCAAAUCUUACUUACGAGCCUUAUAACAGGUUCAAGGAAAGUGUCAGAUGGGCAGUUUUACUGGGGCAGUACCCUGCUAAAGAGUAAUGCAGGGACACAAAGGUUGGCUUACCACGGAUGGAAAUCGUGGUGAAAGCGUAAAGGUAUAAGCCAGCUUGACUGCGACACGUACUUGUGGAGCAGGUGGGAAACCAGGUCUUAAUGAUCCUCCGAUCCUCAAUGGGUGGGGACGGAGCUUAAUGGAUAAAAGCUACUCCGGGGAUAACAGAGUAGUCGCCUCCGAGAGUCCAUAUCGACGAGGCGGAUCGCUACCUCGAUGUCGGCUCAGCGCAUCCUGGGGCUGAAGAAGGUCCCAAGGGUUGGUCUGUUCGCCCAUUAAAGCGCUACGUGAGCUGGGUUCAGAACGUCGCAAGACAGUUCGGACUCUAUCCGGUGUGUGCGUGUGAGUUUUGAGGAGAGCUAACCUCAGUACGAGAGGACCAGGUUGGGGGAAUCCCUAGUGUGCCGGUUGUGGCGUCAGCCGCAACGCCGGGUAGCUACAUUCCUAAGGGAUAACCGCUGAAAGCAUCUAAGCGGGAAGCCCACUCCAAGAUAAGAACUCAUAGACUCCUGGAAGACUACCAGGUUGAUCGGCAGGCAGUAGUAGGCCCGUAAGGGCUUAAGCUUACCAUGCACGAAUAAGUCGUUAGGCUUUCGAG